AUUUUUCUGUUGAUUCCAUUUUCUUUUGUCAGCCUCACAUUGACAGCAUGCAAAGAUCGGUGGCCAACUGCACUGUUGCUAUCAAACCCAAAUCAAUUAGAAGGCUCUGCUGUACCAAUGCCUUUUCUGAUCUUCAUUUGAAGUGACAAGCAUCAAUGUUACUUCAGGACACUGUAGUUCAGAUUUUGUGGAUCUUUGAAAAUCUGAGUCUCAACGCAAGCAACAAUGUUUGACGUAUGUUCAUCCCUAAUGAAAUCAAAACUGAGUUGACCUGAUAUGGACUGACUCUAAAUGAAUCAGAAGCAUAAAAGUUUGGAGUAAGACCUAAUUAUUUUCAAAAAAUAUUUCCCACUUGUAAUCUUAUUUGUAAUCCUAGCUGUAUUAAUCUUUAUGGUGAUGAAAUGUAAUGAAACAGCAAAUGUUUUUUAUGUGGACUUCUGUGCUAAUUAAUGUGAUAAUGGUGGUUCUCACAAUAUAUAGAUAGUUCAUCAAACUACUAAAACCAGCACUUCACAUUAACUGUAAAUUGUUUAAAAUACUCCUUGGCUUUCAAAGACCCUGGAUACAUUUUGUCGUCAAUUCCAAAAAAUCUGUUUAUGAACAUUCACAAGUAUCUAAUCUAUUUUAAAUGUGUGACUGUCACUAAAUAGGACAUACUGAUGUGUUUUCAUUCUCCAACAACUUAAUUUAAACAUCUAAUCCCUGAACACAGACAGUAUAAGCAGGAAGGGAAGCAUUAUUUGUG